GCUGGUAUAGCUCAGUGGUAGAGUGCAUGCUUAGCAGGCACGAGGUCCUGGGUUCACUACCCAGUACCUCCU
rnacentral:tRNA from 1 species